rnacentral:rRNA from 1 species
UACGAAGGGGGCUAGCGUUGCUCGGAAUCACUGGGCGUAAAGGGUGCGUAGGUGGCGCGCUAAGUCGGGUGUGAAAUUUCGGAGCUUAACUCCGAAACUGCAUUCGAUACUGGCGUGCUUGAGGACUGGAGAGGAGACUGGAAUUCAUGGUGUAGCAGUGAAAUGCGUAGAGAUCAUGAGGAAGACCAGUGGCGAAGGCGGGUCUCUGGACAGUUCCUGACACUGAGACACGAAGGCUAGGGGAGCAAACGGG